rnacentral:rRNA from 1 species
CGCCCUUAGAGUUUGAUCAUGGCUCAGAUUGAACGCUGGCGGCAGGCUUAACACAUGCAAGUCGAGCGGUAGGAGAGCUUGCUCUCUACGAGCGGCGGACGGGUGAGUAAUGUCUGGGAAACUGCCUGAUGGAGGGGGAUAACUACUGGAAACGGUAGCUAAUACCGCAUAAUGUCGCAAGACCAAAGAGGUUCGUCUUGCCAUCAGAUGUGCCCAGAUGGGAUUAGCUAGUAGGUGGGGUAAUGGCUCACCUAGGCGA